rnacentral:tRNA from 1 species
GGAAGGGUGGCCGAGUGGUUGAAGGCAGCGGUCUUGAAAACCGCCAGGGCCCCAAAGGUCCUCGUGAGUUCGAAUCUCACCCCUUCCG